GGCCUUCUAAGGUUACCCAGAGGUGGUGGAACUGUCGGCCUAGUAGAUGGUGGUGAAGACCUGAGGGUGGAUGGAGGCGGUGCAGGUGUGUAGUGGAGGACUUUUAUUAUGCUUUUAUUUUCAUAUUAUUAUGUUUUAUUUUUCAUCCUAUUUUUCAUUUUUUAAUAACAAUCUGAAGCUCACAAAUUGUGAUUCAUAUGGAGAUAAUGUUUUUCUGCUAACGUACAGAAUUAUGCUCUUUCUGUCUUUUCAGCAAGUACAAUGUCCAAGGAAGGACUUAAACAUCAUGUACCAGCAUGUACUGUCCUUUAUGAUUAUGUUUAACGGUUUUUGCUCUUAAUCACUGACAACUGAAGGCUAUCUUCUAAAUGACGUAGAAACGGAUGAUUGUACGUGUUUCAGCAUCUUACUAUAAAUGUGUCUUCAACCUUGUGAUCGGGGCUCUUAGGUUUUUAAACUUCUAGCACCAUGGGGGUGAGAGCCUAUUCUGCAGAAUAUAUAAAAUUCAGACAAAGAAAAUUCUGUCGACAGUGUGUCUGUGUGAUCCUUGACUUUGACUCUUAGUGAGUAUUAUUUGAUGCGGCUAAAAUUCCACGACAAUAAUGGCGACGAGGAUGCGGAUUCCACAGCUGUAGACUCCAGGUUUGGGAGAUACUGACUGAUCACCCCUGAGACAAGAGGUCUCGGGCUCCGUACCCCAGGCCUAAGGGAAGGGAGAGUCUCAACCAGUUCUGAAGUCAAGGCUGACUGGAAUCUGGAAAAGAACCGUUGUGGUGGCAUCUGAAUAGAUAAUAUGGUAAGCGUUAUUUCGUUCGUGACCAUGGGUCAGGGUAAUUCGAAAGGGAGUACAAAGUCAAUGGAUCUGGAAAAUGGCGUGUAUGCUCGAGUGAUCAAAUCAAAGGGCACGGGGGCGUUGGAAAGCGUAAAAUCUGGGAGAAAAGGUAUGAUUUUCCUCCUAAAGGAACACUGAGUGUAAAAGCACUCAUUUUAUUAAGGGAAAAAUCAUUGCGGAUGGCAGAGAAAUGAGAGCACAGAGUAAGAUAAAGACCAAGGACGAACUGACUCAGACUAAGUCAGAGCUAAACAUUAAGCAAAUGUUUUUCCUACAUCAGAUUCAUUACAUGAUGAACCUAACUUUCUUUUUUUUCCCUCCUCCCUAUGCACCUGCACGUACCCCACCUGGGGUACAUUUCCAAUUCACAAGGGUACCGCUUCUGGACGAUGACCUCCAACCCCCUCCACAACGUCGCCCUCCACCACCACCUGCUCAACAAAUCGCACAGAUACAACAACCAGCUCAACAAGCCGCACAGAUACAACAGCCAGCACGACAAGCACCACUUUCUGCACCCCCGCCACCGCCGAUGCAAGAACUGCCACGUGGACCAGAAUCAGAAAUCAUCCACAUCCUUGACAGCACUUUUGAAGAGGACAAAGAUGAUGUUCAGAUAAAGACGGAACGGGAGGCAAGGCCUAAGGAAACAGCAGAGAAGCCGUUCACCAGAGAAACAGCUAUCUUCAGCUUUUGCCAAGAUAGGAGAAUGGGCACAGCCACAACAUAACAACGCAAUUUCUCUUCGCAAGGACAACGCUCCCGAGAGAACGGGCAGCAGAGAGAAUGAGAGAAGAGGAGAGGAGAUCCGAAAGAAAAUGUUUGCUGGUAUUGCGGACAGAAAGGACAUUUGAAAAACCAAUGUUCCCAUUUCCUGAAAACUAAAGGGACACCGGAAUCCCAGGGGAGCGCGGGAAACCUGCCGGUGUGUAAAGAAAAGGGGCGACUGAAGCCAGGAGGGGGAAGGGGAGCAUCGUACGGAGGCGGGUAAGUCCAAUCUUGUUUUUUCUGCGGUUCAAAUGCCAUAUUAUCUGCUUGCUAAUUCUGUUUUUUCUGAUGUGUGUGAAAGGGAAAGAAAUGCUCUAUGCAAUGAAGAACUUGCUUUGCUUGAUGUUGAACGAGAGGCAUACUCUAAACUGCCUCUCGAAGAAAUAAUGGUUGAGGGACAGGCUAUGUUAUUUAUGGUGGACUCUGGUGCGACUAACUCUGUCAUACGCAAAGAUGAAUUCCCAUUUGUCACCUUGAGUGGGCAGUUUAACUCAUCUAUGAGUGCUACGGGGCAUAUAGUGAGGGAAGAAUUUACUGCUCCACUCUGUUGUAUGCAUGACGGUAACAAGUUUAUGCAUAUGUUCCUUUUAUCUGACGCGUGUCCGGUAAACCUCAUGGGGAGGGAUUUGAUGUGUAAAAUUAAUGCUAGCAUCUUAUGUAACAACCAAGGCCUGAAUAUUUCUUGUUGGGAUCCCAGAAUGUCAUCUAUGUGUAUGUCUCUGUCUGUAUAUGUGUAUGAAUGGGCCUUUCUGAAUGAAGAGUUGCAUGCUGAAGGGAAGAUAAGAUUGCCACAAGCCAGCGAGGUCAUUCCAGCUGAAAACAUGCAUUGCACAAGCUCAUGUUGUUGACAUAACAGAAAGAGAGUGGCAAGAGAGAUGGUUUUCUGUAAAGACAGAGGGUUUUGACUUUAACCCAUAUAUGCUGGAAUGACUCAUGGUGUGUGGCACUCGUUCAGUUGACAGGAAAGCAGGAACAAAUUUUUGAUUUUGACAAUUCAGUACCCCACAUCUCCAUUGCAAAAAAUACUAGUCAGCCGUUAGAAAUGCAGGUGAAUUUGCAAAGGCCUGCAGCGAGGCUGUUGAUUGGGAACCAUUGGCAGAUAGCAUACAGUUCUCAGAGCAGUUAUCAGCACACAGAAGAGAUUAUGCUGCUUUUUCAUGGCUGAGAGAGAGAGAGUUGUAAUACAGAAAGCUGUUUCUGCAGAUUUCAACUCACAAAACAGUUUGUCAGUACACAUGACGUGUGCUAGUAUUGAUUUACCGCAAAAAGUUAUUGACAAUGUACCUGAUUACCUGUGGGCUAAAGACAAGUAUGAUGUGGGCUUGAUUAAAGGGUGUGAACCAGUAACUAUCACCCCAAAGAGUGAUUAUAGACCAUGUAAACCCCAAUAUCCUCUGAAAAGGGAGGCGCUUGAGGGGAUAAGGCCAGUAUUUUAGGCAUUAUUGGGAUAAUUAUUCCCUGCCCACACUCACCUGUGAGAACACCCAUUUUUCCUGUACAAAAGGUCAGGGAUGCAGGUCAGCCCACAGAGUGGAGGUUUGUUCAAGAUCUCCAAGCAGGGAAUGCUGUGGUACAAGCAAGAGCACCUCACGUGCCAAACCCUUACACAAUUCUCUCACAGAUACCAGCUGAUGGCCAGUGGUUUUCAGUGUAGUGGAUAUUUCAAGUGCAUUUUUCAGAGUUCCUGUCCAUUCUGAUAGCCAGUUUUGGUUUGAUUUUACAUUUAAGGGGUAUAGCGAGAGCCGCACUAUUUACAAACUCUGCAUUGCAUUGUUCAUUACAGAAACUUGUGUUGGAUGAUGAUGUUGCUUUAUUGCAGUACGUGGAUGACCUCUUGGUGCCAGCACCGACUCAGCAAUCGUACACAGACAACACCAUACGGCUGCUUACUCAUCUAGCUAAGGAAGGUCAUAAGGUCAACCCCAAAAAGGUACAGUGCUCUGUCCAGAAAGUAACCUUUCUAGGACACGAAAUUACACCUAUGGGUAAGUCUCUCUCUCCAAAGAGAAUAGAGGCAAUAGCUAACAUACCAAAACCCAUUACAAAGAAACAGGUGAUGUCAUUCUUGGGUAUGACAUCUUAUUGCAGGACUUUUAUUGCUAACUAUUCUGAGAUGCAACAACCAUUGCAUGAUAUGAUUUAUGAGAAACCUUUGGCACCAUCAGAGAAGGUAGAAUGGACAGAGAAGGCUGAAAAGGCAUUUGUGGAACUAAAACAGACACUACAGCAGGCACCCACUUUAGGUUUGCCAGACCCGAAAAAGCCUUUUGUUCAAACUGUGGAUGAAAGAAAUGGCUGUAUGACAUCUGUUUUGUUACAAGAACAUGGUGACAAGUUGAGACCAGUUGCAUAUUUUUCAGGACGCCUUGAUGCGGUGGCCAGGGGCCUACCAGGAUGUCUCAGGGCUUGAACAGCGCACAUCUCACUUGUCUGCAGCAAGAUGGCUGCGUUAUUCCUGUGCAUUGUUUCAGAUGUCUAAUGUCACAGUUGAAAGAUGUACAGUGCUAAACCCGGCGACAUUGUUACCUACACCUGAUGAAGGUACACCACAUUGUUGUUUGUCUGCCCUACGGGAAGUAUGCACACCAAGGCCUGACCUUGCUGACACACCCAUACCUAAAUGCACCCUCACAUAUUAUGUGGAUGGUUCCUCUUCCAGAGAUGACAGAGGCAUAGAUAGGAUGGGGUGGGCAGUUGUGUCUGACUUUGAAGUAGUGAAAUCCGGAUGCUUACCACCUCAGAAAUCUGCAAAGGUGGCUGAAUUGCAUGCACUAACACAAGCUUGUCAACUUGCUACUAAUCAAUCUAUAACCAUUUACAUUGACUGCUGAUUUUACUGACAGUUUCUCUCCUAUAACAAAUUUUACUCCUUUCUCAAAUAGCUGUGUGCAAAUGCAAAGCACACACCAAGGAACAGGACGUGAUCUCCAGAGGAAAUGCACGCACGGAUGCGGAAGCAUCUCUCAUGACUACUAACAAAAACGUUUCUCUUACACAGAUUUCCCAGGAAAAGGAAGCUGAAACACCACAGGAGUUACUAAUAAGCAUGCAAACAUUUUCUCUUCCAACAGAAAUAGCUCUAUGGAAAUCGUGUGGAGCAACCAAAACUCCUGAAGGGAUUUGGAUGGGUCCAAAUCAAAAACCUUGCUUACCUAAACAUUUUUAUUCCCAUUUUGCUAGGUUGACACAUGGGGACCACGGUGACAUGCGAUACUCUUCAAAAUGAAAAUGACAUGUUGCAAUAUUGUAUUUCUAUGUCCUCUGUAUUUCAAAAUAUCUCCAAAGCAGGUUAAAUCAGCCCUACCCCGUCCAGUAGAAGAACCAUUACACAACAUCAAACCAGGGGAUUACGUGGUGGUAAAGAACCUCAGGAGGAAAUCCUGGAAAGCCAGACGGUGGGAGGGGCCAUUUCAGGUUCUGCUGACGACUCACACCGCUGUGAAGGUCACGGAGCGUGCCACCUGGGUGCACGUUGCCCAUUGCCGGAGGGUUGGUCCGGGACUGCAAGGUGUAAACCAAAGGGAGGACGGCUAGUCGACUGCUACGGACCACUUUUUCGUAUUGGUGGGAACCACAGAUACCUGUAUACUGCAAGUUUAUUUCGAAGAACGACACGAGAGAACUGCAAGAGCUCACAAAGUAUUGGAGGACGACUCCAGUAUUCUGGGUUUGGUUUGGACACACGCACACGACAUCUUUAAUGAUAGCUUGGCACGACUGCACCGUGUGGUCCUACCAAACCCGAACCUACAAAGGAAAUUAAUCAACAAGGGCUCACGACCCCAACUCUAACUGUGCUCAGGGCUCACGACCCCAACUCUAACUGUGCUCAAUCCGGAAUCAUCAAGGGCUCACGACCCCAACUCUAACUGUGCUCAAUUUCUUCAAGAAAACGAACUAUUUUUCUUCUUUCAAAAAUGAGAUUCAUGAUCAUACUAUGUGUGUGUGCAUUUUUACUUUUGCAACUGCACAGAACUAUAUGUACACUAUGGUUAAGGGUAAUAACCAGAGCUACGUAACGAUGACAGUAAAUGAAGUUAUGAAUAAAUCAUAAAAAGGGAGGAGUGUAGUGGAGGACUUUUAUUAUGCUUUUAUUUUCAUAUUAUUAUGUUUUAUUUUUCAUCCUAUUUUUCAUUUUUUAAUAACAAUCUGAAGCUCACAAAUUGUGAUUCAUAUGGAGAUCAUGUUUUUCUGCUAACGUACAGAAUUAUGCUCUUUCUGUCUUUUCAGCAAGUACAAUGUCCAAGGAAGGACUUAAACAUCAUGUACCAGCAUGUACUGUCCUUUAUGAUAAUGUUUAACGGUUUUUGCUCUUAAUCACUGACAACUGAAGGCUAUCUUCUAAAUGACGUAGAAACGGAUGAUUGUACGUGUUUCAGCAUCUUACUAUAAAUGUGUCUUCAACCUUGUGAUCGGGGCUCUUAGGUUUUUAAACUUCUAGCACCAUGGGGGUGAGAGCCUAUUCUGCAGAAUAUAUAAAAUUCAGACAAAGAAAAUUC